rnacentral:rRNA from 1 species
GAUGAACGCUGGCGGCGUGCCUAAUACAUGCAAGUCGAACGCGAGAGGAGGGAGCUUGCUCCCUCUGAUCGAGUGGCGGACGGGUGAGUAACACGUAGGCAACCUGCCCAUCAGCCGGGGAUAACUGCGGGAAACCGUGGCUAAUACCGGAUAAUCCUCUCCACCGCGGGGUGGGGAGUUGAAAGACGGUUUCGGCUGUCGCUGAUGGAUGGGCCUGAGGCGCAUUAGCUGGUUGGCGGGGUAACGGCCCACCAAGGCAACGAGGCGUAGCCGACCUGAGGGGGUGAUCGGGCACACGGGGACAGAGACACGGCACAGACUCCUGCGGGAGGCAGCAGUAGGGAAGCUUCCGCAAUGGACGCAAGUCUGACGGAGCAACGCCUCGUGAGUGAAGAAGGGUUUCGGCUCCUAAAACUCUGUUGUUAAGGAAGAACGCCAGGUAGAGUAACUGCUACCUGUGUGACGGUACUUAACCAGAAAGCCACGGCUAACUACGUGCCAGCCGCCGCAGUAA